rnacentral:rRNA from 1 species
AAGGGCGUUGAAGCAUGAUCGUAAGGACAUGUGGAGCGCUUAGAAGUGAGAAUGCCGGUGUGAGUAGCGAAAGACGGGUGAGAAUCCCGUCCACCGAUUGACUAAGGUUUCCAGAGGAAGGCUCGUCCGCUCUGGGUUAGUCGGGUCCUAAGCUGAGGCCGACAGGCGUAGGCGAUGGAUAACAGGUUGAUAUUCCUGUACCACCUAUAAUCGUUUUAAUCGAUGGGGGGACGCAGUAGGAUAGGCGAAGCGUGCGAUUGGAUUGCACGUCUAAGCAGUAAGGCUGAGUAUUAGGCAAAUCCGGUACUCAUUAAGGCUGAGCUGUGAUGGGGAGAAGACAUUGUGUCUUCGAGUCGUUGAUUUCACACUGCCGAGAAAAGCCUCUAGAUAGAAAAUAGGUGCCCGUACCGCAAACCGACACAGGUAGUCAAGAUGAGAAUUCUAAGGUGAGCGAGCGAACUCUCGUUAAGGAACUCGGCAAAAUGACCCCGUAACUUCGGGAGAAGGGGUGCUCUUUAGGGUUAACGCCCAGAAGAGCCGCAGUGAAUAGGCCCAAGCGACUGUUUAUCAAAAACACAGGUCUCUGCUAAACCGUAAGGUGAUGUAUAGGGGCUGACGCCUGCCCGGUGCUGGAAGGUUAAGAGGAGUGGUUAGCUUCUGCGAAGCUACGAAUCGAAGCCCCAGUAAACGGCGGCCGUAACUAUAACGGUCCUAAGGUAGCGAAAUUCCUUGUCGGGUAAGUUCCGACCCGCACGAAAGGCGUAACGAUUUGGGCACUGUCUCAACGAGAGACUCGGUGAAAUCAUAGUACCUGUGAAGAUGCAGGUUACCCGCGACAGGACGGAAAGACCCCGUGGAGCUUUACUGUAGCCUGAUAUUGAAAUUCGGCACAGCUUGUACAGGAUAGGUAGGAGCCUUUGAAACGUGAGCGCUAGCUUACGUGGAGGCGCUGGUGGGAUACUACCCUAGCUGUGUUGGCUUUCUAACCCGCACCACUUAUCGUGGUGGGAGACAGUGUCAGGCGGGCAGUUUGACUGGGGCGGUCGCCUCCUAAAAGGUAACGGAGGCGCUCAAAGGUUCCCUCAGAAUGGUUGGAAAUCAUUCAUAGAGUGUAAAGGCAUAAGGGAGCUUGACUGCGAGACCUACAAGUCGAGCAGGGUCGAAAGACGGACUUAGUGAUCCGGUGGUUCCGCAUGGAAGGGCCAUCGCUCAACGGAUAAAAGCUACCCCGGGGAUAACAGGCUUAUCUCCCCCAAGAGUUCACAUCGACGGGGAGGUUUGGCACCUCGAUGUCGGCUCAUCGCAUCCUGGGGCUGUAGUCGGUCCCAAGGGUUGGGCUGUUCGCCCAUUAAAGCGGUACGCGAGCUGGGUUCAGAACGUCGUGAGACAGUUCGGUCCCUAUCCGUCGUGGGCGUAGGAAAUUUGAGAGGAGCUGUCCUUAGUACGAGAGGACCGGGAUGGACAUACCUCUGGUGUACCAGUUGUCGUGCCAACGGCAUAGCUGGGUAGCUAUGUGUGGACGGGAUAAGUGCUGAAAGCAUCUAAGCAUGAAGCCCCCCUCAAGAUGAGAUUUCCCAACUUCGGUUAUAAGAUCCCUCAAAGAUGAUGAGGUUAAUAGGUUCGAGGUGGAAGCAUGGUGACAUGUGGAGCUGACGAAUACUAA